ACCAGAUUGCUUCUAAGGCUAAUAAUUGGCAAAGCAGGAGUAAGAGAAGAUAGCAAAUGAGAUGCUGGAAAACCUAAUAAGAGAAAUCUCAGGCUGGAGAUGUGACUCUGGAAGAACUUUGAACCAGAAGUGCCCUUAGAAAGCAGAUCAUUGGAAUGAGAGUCUAGAACUGGCCAUUUGGCAGCCAAAUUACUACUAAGCAUUAUAGAGUGUUCUUCUGUCAAUGUAUCACUACAGCUGGGCCAAAUUUUAUAUCUUGAAGCUUCUUCUCCAGAGUGAUGGUAUUAAGAGGUGAGGCCUUUAAGAGUUAUUAAGUAAUGAAGGCUGUUAUCAUGAAUGAAAUUAAUGCUUUGGGAAAAAGGACCCUGGAGAGCUAUCUAAUUUCUUUCACCGUUUGAAGACACAGCA